UGGCGGCGCGUGCGGGCCACGCCUCCUCCGGGACCGGAGGCGGGUGGCUGCGCUCGGUCGGGUGUCGCGCGUGGGGGCUAAACUGCAAGGGCUCAUGAGGUUGGGGCUGUUCCCAGGCCCAGGCGUGUUCCUGCGCGCUUCUUCUUGCUCCCUUUGCUUGGUCUUUCCUGGGUUUUUGUUGUUGUUUUUACUCAGAAGUGUAGUUUCUAAGUAAAUGAAGGCAUUACACGCCACAGAUUUGCGCAGGGGAGUCAGAUCCCCUGGCUCACCCUGAGGGAGGCUGGCCUCAGCAACAGAAAGCCAGAGCUCGGAUUCUCCCGCAGUGUGGAGCCAGUCCUCUUAGCUAGCCUUGAACAGCGUGGGAAAAGGCGGCUGUACCAAGUUGUAGAUGCCGGGCUUGAAGAGAAGAAUAGGUAUAUCUACGAAGUUAUGCUUACGAAGAUUGGAGACACCUUAGAAAGGAAGACUCAGUAAAAUUUUGUGAAACUUGGAUAAAUAGGUUGUUUGACUUAACAACAGUGGUUGGAGGAGGUCUUCGAGAGGUCAUGGCCUCCGAUCGACCUGUGAGGAGGGGCAAUUGGAGGCUCCUGACCCCCUCCCCUGUCUCGGGAAGGUGCGUUCCUUGAUUCCACUGCCACAGCGCCACAGGGACGGACGCAGGCGGCCUUCAGAAAAACCACCAGGAGGGCGUUCGUGGGGAAUGAA